rnacentral:rRNA from 1 species
CCGGGGCCGCGGGCCUACAAUGCAGUCGAGCGAACUUCCGUUCUUGAUUAUGACGUACUUGUACUGAUUGAGAUUUUAGCCUGAAGUGCGUGGUGAACGGGGGAGAUACCCGCGGGUAACCUGCCCUAAAACCGGGUAUAACCUAUGGAAACAAAUGCUAAUACCGUAUAACAUUGUGCUCCGCAUGGUUUUCUUUUAAAAGAUGGCUCUGCUAUCGCUUCUGGAUGGACCCGCGGCGUAUUAGCUAGUUGGUGAGGUAAAGGCUCACCAAGGUGUGAUACAGAGCCGACCUGACAGGGUAAUCGGCCACAUUGGGACUGAGACACGGCCCGUACUCCUACGGGAGGCAGCAGUAGGGAAUCUUCCACAAUGGACGCAAGUCUGAUGGAGCAACGCCGCGUGAGUGAAGAAGGGUUUCGGCUCGUAAAGCUCUGUUGUUAAAGAAGAACGUGGGUAAGAGUAACUGUUUACCCAGUGACGGUAUUUAACCUAAAAGCCACGGCUAACUACGUGCCAGCAGCCGCGGGAAUACGUAGGUGGCAAGCGUUAUCCGGAUUUAUUGGGCGUAAACCGAGCGCAGGCGGUCUUUUAAGUCUAAUGUGAAGGCCUUCGGCUCAACCGAAGAAGUGCAUUGUAAACUGGGAGACUUGAGUGCAGAAGAGGACAGUGGAACUCCAUGUGUAGCGGUGAAAUGCGUAGAUAUAUGGAAGAACACCAGUGGCGAAGGCGGCUGUCUGGUCUGCACUGACGCUGAGGCUCGAAAGCAUGGGUAGCGAACAGGAUUAGAUACCCUGGUAGUCCAUGCCGUAUACGAUGAUUACUAAGUGUUGGAGGGUUUCCGCCCUUCAAUGCUGCAGCUAACGCAUUAAGUAAUCCGCCUGGGGGAGUACGACCGCCAAGGUUGAGACUCAUGAUGAAUUGACUGGGGCCCGCACAAGCGAUGGCAGCAUGUGGUUUACUUCGAAGCUACGCUAGAACAUUACCAGGGUCUUGACAUCUUCUGACAGUCUAGAAGAUAAAGGUUCCCUCGGGACGGAUGACAGUUGUGCAUGCUGUCGUCAGCUCGCGUCUGGAAUGUUUGGUUACGUCCCGUACGAGCGCAUCCUAUACUAGUGGCCAGCAUAGUGGGCACUUAAUGGAAACUGCGGUGUACAACGGUAGAAGCCUGGGACAUACUUCUAUCAUCAUGUGCCUUAGUACCUGGGGCUCA